rnacentral:rRNA from 1 species
GACGAACGCUGGCGGCGUGCUUAACACAUGCAAGUCGAACGGAAAGGCCCCGUUGUGGGUGCGUGAUUGACUGACGGGCGAGUAAGACGUGAGUAACUUACCCUCCAUUUCCGUAUGACUACCUUAAACAGACUCGAAUUCCGGAUAGAAAGCCGCUCCUCCUGCAUGGGGUUGGAAAGCUUCUUUCGGCUGGUUUGGAUGGACUCGCGGUUAGUCUGUUUGUUGGUGGGGUACUUGCCUAGCAAGGGUUUGGUGGGCAGCCGGGCUGAGAGGGCGAACGGGCACAAUGGGAAUGAGAUUAGGCCCAGACUCCUACGGGAGGGAGCAGGGGGGAAAAUUGGAAAAUGGGCGGAAGCCCGAUGCAGCCACGCCGCCGGCGGGAUGACGGCCUUCGGGUUGGUAAACGCUUUCAGCAGGGGAGAAGCCUGUGGUGACGGUACCUGCAGAAGAAGCACCGGCUAACUACGUG